CCCAGCACGGGUGUGUGUACAGCGGGGCAAAGGCAGUGGGUAUAAAGGCAGGAGAUCAGAGAUCCAAGGACGUGGAGUUGCUGGAGGAGAUAAGCACUGGGAAAGGCUGUCAGCCAGAGAGAGUUUCCUUGGUUUUGCUCUUGGACUCGAAGUCGUUGCCUUCGGUGACUUUUUGCUCCUUAUCUCAAUUCUAAAUGUUAAACUCCUUGAGUCAACUGAUUCUAAUAUUUUAGAGUGUUGUUUCAGUGAUUUAUCAGAGCUACACAAGCCAAAAUGAGGUGUUAUUUGUAAAAGUUUGUUUGAAGCACUUAAAGGAAAAAAACCCAUUUCUGAAAACAUGAAUGAGAUUAUGUUUUGAAAAAAAUACCUCUAUGGUAAAGGAGCUGAAAUGAAAGUGUGUAAUUCUUCUGAGGGAGUUUGACAAUCAAAAGCUCUGAAAUGGCCCUUCAUGGCCCCAAAACAGUAUUCCUGCAAAUCUUUCUAUGUUAUUAAUAAGUGUUAGCAUUUCUGUUAUAUACAUUGUUGUGCAAAAUGCAUUUCUGCCAUCAGCGCCUUCAUUUAUAUGAACAUUUUUAUUGUGCUUUCAUUGUUGAUAUAUUUUCAAGUUAUUUAUUACUUGUUUAUUUAAAAUCACUUUUCUAUGUUGCCUUUAUAUUUCUUGAAUGCAUUAAAAAUACAUAUUCAAAUA